rnacentral:rRNA from 1 species
UGGGGAAUAUUGGGCAAUGGAGGNAACUCUGACCCAGCGACGCCGCGUGAGGGAUGAAGGCCUUCGGGUUGUAAACCUCUUUCAGUAGGGAAGAAGCGAAAGUGACGGUACCUACAGAAGAAGCACCGGCUAACUAUGUG